GCGUUUGUAGUCCAACGAUUAGAUAAUUGCCUUCCAAACAAUAGGCCAGGGUUCGACUCCCGUCAGACGCA
rfam:Nicotiana attenuata strain TT chromosome 1, whole genome shotgun sequence.